UCCUCGGUGGCUUGAUUGGUAGAGCAUCGGACUAGCCAUUCGGAGGUUGCGGGUUCGAGUCCCGCUCGGGGAG